rfam:Schistosoma haematobium scaffold868_16, whole genome shotgun sequence.
AUCUAGCUGAUGAGUCCCAAACAGGACGAAAUCCACGUCCUGGAU